GCAUCCAGACCUACCCCCACAUAGUUCCCUACGCAGUCGGCGGAAAGCAGAAGAGAAUGUGGAGGAACUGAAGCAGGAAGUCUGGCGGCCAGGAUGGCACUACUGAGAGGUUCACAGAUGAGGUGUCAUGAUCAUACAUGAGUCCCCACCUCUGAAGCUAUGCUGUUCAUGAGAGGCCACACAACUCAAGCAAGCAAUUGUUUGCAGAAGUGGAGCUGUUUUGAGCAUCAGAGCCAACUCUCAGACUGCUGGAUUACUGCAAGAGACCAAGAAUUAUUUGACUAUUGUUCCUAGUUAAAGAAAGAAAGGAGCUGAACAUUAAGAAUAAACCAACUCAUCUAUUAAUCUGCCCUCAAUGAACUCUUCAGCCAUUAAAGUAUUCCCUUGAUUCACUUGAGGCCUCCAUCAUCCAAUAAAUGAAAACCACCUAACAAGACACAGCUACUUCAAGGCACUCUACUUAAGAGGGCAAAUGAAAAGCUUUUCAAUGAACAAGCGAUUCAGAGGGAAGUUCUUUCAGACUGGUAAAACCUACUUGUGAAUGAAUGAGAGAUUAGGGAUGAAUGAAUGGGUAAAUAAGAAAAUUUGCUUUUAAGAAUGGAGACGACUAGGUCUGUGUUUUAAUGAGAAUACUACAUGCAUAAGAAGGAACAUGCCUAUAGAUAUGCAACCAUGAGUAAAACAAGAAUUUUUUUUUUAAAAAAACCUACA